CCUACGGGAGGCAGCAGUGAGGAAUAUUGGUCAAUGGACGAGAGUCUGAACCAGCCAAGUAGCGUGAAGGAUGACUGCCCUAUGGGUUGUAAACUUCUUUUAUAUGGGAAUAAAACGUUCCACGUGUGGGGUUUUGUAUGUACCAUAUGAAUAAGGAUCGGCUAACUCCGUGCCAGCAGCCGCGGUAAUACUGAGGAUCCGAUCGUUAUCCGGAUUUCUUUGGUUUAAAGGGAGCGUAGGUGGAUUGUUAAGUCAGUUGUGAAAGGUUGCGGCUCAACCGUAAAAUUGCAGUUGAAACUGGCAGUCGUGAGUACAGUAGAGGUGGGCGGAAUUCGUGGUGUAGCGGUGAAAUGCUUAGAUAUCACGAAGAACUCCGAGUGCGAAGGCAGUUCACUGGACUGCAACUGACACUGAGGCUCGAAAGUGUGGGUAUCAAACAGGAUUAGAUACCCUUGUAGGC
rnacentral:rRNA from 1 species